rnacentral:tRNA from 1 species
GUCACGGUGGGGCUGUUUGCCCGCCGUCGUCCCGAGACCGUGCUGCUGGCCACCAUGGACGGCGUGCAGGUGCUGGGCCAGCCCGCGGCC